UGCCAGCAGCCGCGGUAAUACGGAGGGUCCAAGCGUUAAUCGGAAUUACUGGGCGUAAAGCGCGCGUAGGUGGCUUGGUAAGUUGGAUGUGAAAGCCCCGGGCUCAACCUGGGAACUGCAUCCAAAACUGCCUCGCUAGAGUACGGUAGAGGGUAGUGGAAUUUCCUGUGUAGCGGUGAAAUGCGUAGAUAUAGGAAGGAACACCAGUGGCGAAGGCGACUACCUGGCUCAAUACUGACACUGAGGUGCGAAAGCGUGGGGAGCAAACAGGAUUAGAUA
rnacentral:rRNA from 1 species